UCCCUGGUGGCUCAGACGGUACAGUGUCUGCCUGCAAUGCAGGAGACCUGGGUUCAAUCCCUGGGUAGGGAA
rfam:TPA: Bos taurus chromosome 22, whole genome shotgun sequence.